rnacentral:rRNA from 1 species
GACGAACGCUGGCGGCGUGCUUAACACAUGCAAGUCGAACGGAAAGGCCCCUUUGGGGUUACUCUUGUUGCGAACGGGUGAGUAACCCGUGAGUAACCUGCCCUUCACUUCGGGAUUACUUCAGGAAACUGGUUCUAAUACCGGAUCUGAAUCCUUUCUUCAUGUUUGGGGUUGGAAAGCUUCGGCGGUUUUGGGUGUAGUGGCUGCUUAUCAGCUUGUUGGUUUGGUAGUGGCUUACCAAGGCUUUGACGGGUAGCCGGCCUGAGAGGGGGACCGGCCACAAUGGGACUGAGAUACGGACCAGACUCCGACGGGAGGAAGCAGUGGGGAAUAUUGCACAAAGGGAGGAAGGCAGAUGCAGCAACGCCGGGUGCGGGAUGACGGACUUCGGGUUGUAAACCGAUUUAAGGAGGGGCGAAGCUUGUGGUGACGGUACCUUAAGAAGAAGCACCGGCUAACUACGUG